GACGAACGCUGGCGGCGUGCUUAACACAUGCAAGUCGAACGGAAAGGCCCUGCUUUUGUGGGGUGCUCGAGUGGCGAACGGGUGAGUAACACGUGAGUAACCUGCCCUUGACUUUGGGAUAACUUCAGGAAACUGGGGCUAAUACCGGAUAGGAGCUCCUGCUGCAUGUUGGGGGUUGGAAAGUUUCGGCGGUUGGGGAUGGACUCGCGGCUUAUCAGCUUGUUGGUGGGGUAGUGGCUUACCAAGGCUUUGACGGGUAGCCGGCCUGAGAGGGUGACCGGCCACAUUGGGACUGAGAUACGGCCCAGACUCCUACGGGAGGCAGCAGUGGGGAAUAUUGCACAAUGGGCGGAAGCCUGAUGCAGCAACGCCGCGUGCGGGAUGACGGCCUUCGGGUUGUAAACCGCUUUCGCCUGUGACGAAGCGUGAGUGAAGGUAAUGGGUAAAGAAGCACCGGCUAACUACGUG
rnacentral:rRNA from 1 species